rnacentral:rRNA from 1 species
AUUGAACGCUGGCGGAAUGCUUUACACAUGCAAGUCGAACGGCAGCACGGACUUCGGUCUGGUGGCGAGUGGCGAACGGGUGAGUAAUACAUCGGAACGUGCCCGGACGUGGGGGGAUAACUACUCGAAAGAGUGGCUAAUACCGCAUACGAUCCAAGGAUGAAAGCGGGGGAUCGCAAGACCUCGCGCGUUUGGAGCGGCCGAUGGCAGAUUAGGUAGUUGGUGAGGUAAAGGCUUACCAAGCCUGCGAUCUGUAGCUGGUCUGAGAGGAUGAUCAGCCACACUGGGACUGAGACACGGCCCAGACUCCUACGGGAGGCAGCAGUGGGGAAUUUUGGACAAUGGGCGAAAGCCUGAUCCAGCCAUUCCGCGUGCAGGAUGAAGGCCCUCGGGUUGUAAACUGCUUUUGUACGGAACGAAAAGGCUCUUGCUAAUACCAGGAGUCCAUGACGGUACCGUAAGAAUAAGCAACCGGCUAACUACGUGCCAGC